AAAUGUCCCAUUGUACUAAUUUGAUCUAUAUAUUUUAUUUAACAAAAGUAGGUUCUUAGUGAAUUUAAGCAGAUUACUUGAAAACAUUUUGACAUACCAGUGAUUAUGUUUGCUGAAAUGUAUUUCUUGAUACUACAGGAUAAGUACUCAAUAAUCAGAGUGUACAUGGUUCCAGGAGUAAGGUCUGAGAAAACAGCUUUGGUGGCUGAGGUCUCACUCUGGCUUGAGUUGGAACCAGACUCCAGCUUCACUUUGUACUGUAUCUGCUGGUCCAGGUUAAUACCUGUCCAACUUACACUGAUUAACUUACUGGUGAUUUUCUCCAGCCUGAUGACAUUCACCAGAGUUUCUGACACUGAAAACAAAUGACAAUAAAUAAAGGUCAAAUAAUUCUGUGUAUGUACAGCAAUUUUUUUUUCGUUGGUAUCAAUUUGUAAGUUAAAAAAUAAAUAAUUCUAUACUAUGUCUACUACUUUUGUUAUUAAGAAUCAUAUUAUCUUAUGAUGGUUUUUGAGAAUGAGUGCAUAUAAUCUUACCGCAUUCUGCAACAGUGGUUUUGAUUGUUGUCACCAAAGUAGUGUCUCUGAAAGUUAGUCCCUGUGAGGGAGUUGAGGGAGUGGAUACUGCUACAAAUGUUGAGGUUCUUGUUAUUACUGUAGUAGUACCACUUGUUAAUGGCAUUAUUGGUCUUAGAGUAGUGACAUCACUUGUGACUGUCGAUGUAGCAGUGGGAGUUGUGGCAUCACUUGAAGUGACUGUAGACGUAGUUGAAGUAGUGGUGGCAUCGCUUGAAGUGACUGUGGAUGUAGUUGAGGGAGUGGUGGCAUCACUUGAAGUGACUGUAGACGUAGUUGAAGUAGUGGUGGCAUCACUUGAAGUGACUGUGGAUGUAGGUGAAGUAGUGGUGGCAUCACUUGAAGUGACUGUGGAUGUAGUUGAAGGAGUGGUGGUGGUGGCAUCACUUGAAGUGACUGUUGAUGUAGUUGAGGGAGUGGUGGCAUCACUUGAAGUGACUGUUGAUGUAGUUGAGGGAGUGGUGGAAUCACUUGAAGUGACUGUUGAUGUAGUUGAGGGAGUGGUGGCAUCACUUGAAGUGACUAUUAAUAUAGUUGAGUGAGUGGUGGAAUCACUUGAAGAGGGUGUUGGUGUAGUUGAGGGAGUGGUGGAAUCACUUGAAGUGACUGUUGAUGUAGUUGAGUGAGUGGUGGAAUCACUUGAAGAGGGUGUUGGUGUAGUUGAGGGAGUGAUGGCAUCACUUGAUGUGACUGCUGAUGUAGUAUCACUUGGAGUGACAAUUGAUGUAGUUGAGGCAGUGGUGCCAUCACUUGAAGUGGGUGUUGAGGGAGUAGUGGCAUCACUUG
ensembl:lncRNA